rnacentral:lncRNA from 1 species
GGGCUCGUUCUUUUACGACGGAGCCUAAGAUAUUCUUUGUCUUGUCGGUGAGUGAGUUACAGUCGGAUGACCAAGUGAAAUAUAGGGGUGCAACGAGGAUUUGGAGGCUUCUGAGACUUGAACUUAGGGUACUGGUGUAAACUUCCUCGGAGAAGUGCGCAGCAGCUAAUGAUAUUUCGGGAUUGGAGUCUGGGCCCCAGUGAGAUUCGUACUAAGCGGCCUGACUGAAGGCCGCAUGCGUUCUAGUUCCUGAGUCCCCGCGUGGGUAGGUUUUUACAGCAGGGUUUGCAGCCUUUUGUGCUGUUCCGAAGGUACUAGAGUCACCGAAAGAGACAUCCUAUUAUAUGCACGUUCACAAGGACAAUGGCGCCAUUGUUCUUCGCGUCUUCAAAGCAGCUACAAGAAGAAACCAAGAUGGAGGGGAGCCCAAAGCAUCUGAGAGAAUUGAUAAAUGAAAGAAACAUGCUUAAAACAUGACCGUUUUAAAGGUGAAUGCUGACCAGUGAGAUGCCAGCCUGCGUGUGAAGAUCCUACAGCAGAAGUGCAUGGCCAGUGACACAAGAACUUGCGAGAGAUGCCAGUCCGCCUGUGAAGAUCCUGCAGCAGGAGUGCAUAGCCAGUGACACAAGACGUGCGAAUGAAAACUAGAUGUGACCAUCCAGAAAAAGCAUAGACAAAAAAAUGCAGUCUUAGUACUGGGAUGUUUGAGAUGGGGUCUAUCUACAUGUCUCUAGCUGUCCCUAUCAGGACAGCAUCUGGUGUGGCCUGCAGAGUUGAUUCCUGUACUUUUUUUUUUUUGUGGGCUGUAUGUAAAUGGAUUGUUUUGACAAUCCAUUCGACAGUGUUCUCUUCUGUGAAGGUCAUAGGUGAGCUGAUUGACAGACACAGCUGUACAGACUGAAUGCAAUCCUGACUAUAAAGCUGCAGUUCAUCAUUAUGAGCUAUUUCCUUAUUCUGGCAGUGAUUGAAAUAAAAUGGGGAGUAUUGAAAUAAAAAACAUUCAAUUGCAA